GACGGAGGGUGCAAACGUUGUUCGGAAUUACUGGGCGUAAAGGGCGCGUAGGCGGCCUGCUAAGUCGAACGUGAAAUCCCUGGGCUCAACCCAGGAACUGCGUCCGAUACUGGUUGGCUUGAAUCCGGGAGAGGGAUGUGGAAUUCCAGGUGUAGCGGUGAAAUGCGUAGAUAUCUGGAGGAACACCAGCGGCGAAGGCGGCGCUCUGAGCCGGAACUGACGCUGAGGAGCGAAAGCGUGGGUAGCAAACAGG
rnacentral:rRNA from 1 species